AACGAACGCUGGCGGCAGGCCUAACACAUGCAAGUCGAACGAUAAGCCACCUUCGGGUGGUGGACAGUGGCAGACGGGUGAGUAACGCGUGGGAACGUGCCUUUCGGUUCGGAAUAACCCAGGGAAACUUGGGCUAAUACCGGAUACGCCCUUCGGGGGAAAGAUUCAUUGCCGAAAGAUCGGCCCGCGUCGGAUUAGCUAGUUGGUGGGGUAAUGGCUCACCAAGGCGACGAUCCGUAGCUGGUCUGAGAGGAUGACCAGCCACACUGGGACUGAGACACGGCCCAGACUCCUACGGGAGGCAGCAGUGGGGAAUAUUGGACAAUGGGCGCAAGCCUGAUCCAGCCAUGCCGCGUGGGUGAAGAAGGCCUUAGGGUUGUAAACCCCUUUCAGCGGGGAAGAUAAUGACGGUACCCGCAGAAGAAGUCCCGGCUAACUCCGUGCCAGCCGCCGCGGUAACAC
rnacentral:rRNA from 1 species